AUGAGGUUCCCUGCUCAGCUGCUGGGGCUGCUGGUGCUCUGGAUCCCAGGAUCCAGUGGGGAUGUCAUGCUGAAGCAGACCCCACUGUCCCUGCCCGUCACCCUGGGACAGCCAGCCUCCAUCUCCUGCAGGGCCAGUCAGAGCCUCGUCAACAGUAAUGGAUACUUCUAUUUACAUUGGUACCAGCAGAAGCCAGGCCAGUCUCCACAGCGCUUGAUCUAUCAGGCUUCCAACCGGGACUCCGGGGUCCAGACAGGUUCAGUGGCAGCAGCUGCACCAGCCCAGGGCGGCAUGACCCGCACCGGGAUGGAGGUGAUGGACGUGCCCGCUGAGCAGUACGAGGGAAGGGAGAGCGGACCUGCACCCCAUCCACACCCUUCUGCCUGUGCCUCCUUUCAGAUCUUUGUGUUCAGUCCUUUCUCCCCUCAGGAGGAUCCAGUGCCUCCUCGCUACUGA